rnacentral:rRNA from 1 species
GCCUAAAGCGUCCGUAGCCGGCUCUGUUAGUUUUCGGUUAAAUCCAUAUGCUCAACAUAUGGGCCGCCGGGAAUACUACAAAGCUAGGGAGUGGGAGAGGUAGACGGUACUCCGUAGGAAGGGGUAAAAUCCUUUGAUCUAUGGAUGACCACCAGUGGCGAAGGCGGUCUACCAGAACACGUUCGACGGUGAGGGAUGAAAGCUGGGGGAGCAAACCGGAUUAGAUACCCGGGUAGUCCCAGCUGUAAACUAUGCAAACUCAGUGAUGCAUUGGCUUGUGGCCAGUGCAGUGCCGCAGAGAAGUCGUUAAGUUUGCCGCCUGGGAAGUACGUACGCAAGUAUGAAACUUAAAGGAAUUGGCGGGGGAGCACCACAAGGGGUGAAGCCUGCGGUUCAAUUGGAGUCAACGCCAGAAAUCUUACCCGAAGAGACAGCAGGAUGAAGGUCAAGCUGAAGACUUUACCAGACAAGCUGAGAAGUGGUGCAUGGCCGUCGCCAGCUCGUGCCGUGAGGUGUCCUGUUAAGUCAGGUAACGAGCGAGAUCCUUGCCUCUAGUUGCUACCAUUACUCUCAGGAGUAGUGGGGCGAAUUAGCGGGACUGCCGUAGUUAAUACGGAGGAAGGAGAGGGCCACGGCAGGUCAGUAUGCCCCGAA